rnacentral:rRNA from 1 species
UGUUGACCUCGGAUCAGGUAUGAGUACCCGCUGGUCUUAAGCAUAUCAAUAAGCCGGAGGAAA